UUCAAAGCUACUUACAAUUUUUUUAACAAACUUAUGAGAUGUCAGUUUAAAACUAGUAUUAGUUCAGAACAUUUAUGAUGCAAUCUUUAUUUGUUAUUGAUCCAUUUACACAGUGCUAAUCUUUAAGGUUAAUGUGAGAACAUUGGAAUCGGGAUGUAGUGAUAUUGAUAAAUUUUGGUUUUGGGGUUUGAUUUCUGAUAUUAUUUGGCCUAGCUAUUUAUGCAUUGACUAGAGAGGCCACUUCAAUUAAUAAAAGAGAAUUUAGUAAGUGGUCAUUUAGAUGGUCCUACCAUGUUACAAGCACAUGCAAGAGGCCCUUGACGUGUGAGGCUCCUCUCAUGCAAUUUUAUGAUACGUCAUUUUCGUGGCCCUUUAUUAGCUACUUUUCUAUGUCUAAAAAGUGAUCAACGUAACAUAGCCAUAUAUGGUUCGUUUUUAACUAGGCUCCUUCAUGAUUCUCUGAUAAUGUAAAAAUGAGGUUUCUUCUUCCGGGAAAUUCAGUUUGUUUAGUGGAUAUUGGUGUCAAUAUUUUCAAAAUAAAAUCCCAACAAGAUUAGAUAAUUAUUUGCUAGUCAACACAAGCUGGUACAUGUAUGAUAUAUAUACACUAUUAAAGAUAGAUAAUGGGACUAGCUUCACUUUUUGAAAACUACCUUGUUUGGGUAAGAUGUUCUUGACAAAGAAUCUUCAAGUGGUUGAGUUCGUUUGUUUAAUAGUUAAAAGUCUGGGAGCCAUUCUCAGUGUUACACACUUCGCUACCAAUCUGAUCGGACGGGUGUAAAUGCUUAAGUUGCAUGUCACAAAAAGCCUUAAACUUACAAUCAUGCAUCUAUCUACAUUCUCAUCUAUACUAAAGCAGGAAGAAGAGCAAGAAUUAGAUUGAAACCAAAUAGAAACCGAACUGAAUUGUAUCCACAAAAAAAGGUCACGUGAGAUCUAUCCAGAAUGUACCAAAAGAAAACAAAAGGGACCACAUUUUCAGUAACCAUCACAAGGUGAUUGUCUCUUACUUGCCCCAAAACUGUUGGGACUGGUCAUAAGACUACAUUCCUGAAGAACGGUCACUGUCCCAAAGAGAAAGUCAUUUCAAUGACCCAACUUCUGAACCGACACAAGAUAAAGUGAAGUUCAGUUAAGCUUUUCUGAAGAUAUAGUUCAGAAAUUCUCAUGUGAGUAUUUAAUUUUUUGUUUGGUAGUUAGGGUACCGUUAAAGUGGCCUCAACAUUUGUGUCUAGACUCUGUUAACAAGUAACCCUAUUAUAGUUUGUAACCAUAAGUGGGCUUUUCCAAAAUAUUUAUAAGUUUCCGAUGAAAUCAAUGUUCAAUAAGAUAACUAGACGCUUGAGAUUAUUGAUUAAACGAACGACUAAACUGAUUUUUUUUGAGUGUUUAGAUCAAUUUUUUAAAAAAUUAUUUAUAUCUAAUGCCGUCUACAGCGAUUUUUAGAACACUUUAUGAAAUUAUCUUUGUCUGUAGUAGUUGAAUCAUAGUGUGGUUUUACGAAACUGAAAAAAAGAGUCGAGUGGUUUCAAACGCUAGGGUUAUUAUAGGAGUCCUAAGAAACUUGUGCUUCAAGCAAAAGUAAUAUGUAACUUUAUGAUGUGAGAGCCUUGUAAAACAAAACAAUAUCUUGUCUGGUUUGAGGUAAAGCCAAAUCCAAAUACAACCACCAUUUACAAGGAUGAUUGAAGAAGCAACUAGUGAAGGAAGCAAGAUAACAUACAGAUGAAUCAUGAAAAGAAGAAAUCAGACAAGUUAAAACACCUGUGGUCUCUAAAUUGAAACUUUGAAACCAGUUUUACAGAAU